rnacentral:rRNA from 1 species
GACGAACGCUGGCGGCGUGCUUAACACAUGCAAGUCGAACGAUGAAGAAGAGCUUGCUCUUCGGAUUAGUGGCGAACGGGUGAGUAACACGUGACUAACCUGCCCCUUUCUCUGGGAUAACGCUCCGAAAGGAGUGCUAAUACCGGAUACUCACAUCGAGGCACAUGCCUUGAUGUGGAGAGGUUUUCGGAAAGGGAUGGAGUCGCGGCCUAUCAGCUUGUUGGUGAGGUAACGGCACACCAAGGCGACGACGGGUAGCCGGCCUGAGGGGGCGACCGGCCACACUGGGACUGAGACACGGCCCAGGCUCCUACGGGAUGCAGCAGUGGGGAAUAAUGCACACUGGUCGAAAGCCUGAUGCAGCGACGCCGCGUGUGGGAUGAAGGUCUUCGGAUUGUAAACCUCUUUCAGUAGGGACGAAGCGAAAGUGACGGUACCUAAAGAAGAAGCACCGGCUAACUACGUGCCAGCCGCCGCAGUAA